AGCGAACGCUGGCGGCAGGCCUAACACAUGCAAGUCGAGCGCCCCGCAAGGGGAGCGGCAGACGGGAGAGUAACACGUGGGAACGUACCCUUCGGUUCGGAACAACCCAGGGAAACUUGGGCUAAUACCGGAUACGUCCGAAAGGAGAAAGAUUUAUCGCCGAGGGAUCGGCCCGCGUCUGAUUAGCUAGUUGGUGGGGUAACGGCCCACCAAGGCGACGAUCAGUAGCUGGUCUGAGAGGAUGAUCAGCCUCACUGGGACUGAGACACGGCCCAGACUCCUACGGGAGGCAGCAGUGGGGAAUAUUGGACAAUGGGCGCAAGCCUGAUCCAGCCAUGCCGCGUGGGUGAUGAAGGCCCUAGGGUUGUAAAGCCCUUUCGGCGGGGAAGAUAAUGACGGUACCCGCAGAAGAAGCCCCGGCUAACUUCGUGCCAGCCGCCGCCGUAAUAC
rnacentral:rRNA from 1 species